rnacentral:tRNA from 1 species
UGGCUCAGUGGUUAAGAGCUCUGGCUGCUCUUCCAGAGGACCUGGGUUCAACUCCCAG